CCUGAGAUCAUGACCUGAGCCGAAGGCAGCGGCUUAACCCACUGAGCCACCCAGGCGCCCCCCCUGCAUUAUUUUUUUAAGUCAAGUGAGCGAAGCACGCUUGAGGGUGUUAGGCUGGGUUUACUGGUUGGCGCGGGAGGGUUAAAAUCUUGGCCAUGGCCUUGAAUUCGCGGAGCCGCCGCCGAGCUUUGUAAAGGACAAAAUGGCGACGGCGGGCCGUGGCGGCGGCCCUCUCUGUGAUGAGAACCUUUUCACAGACCUGUACUGAGCUCCGUGAGGAAAAGACUCUCUGAGGAGACGGGCCUCGCCCAGCCCAAGCCCAGCACAGUCGCAGCUCCGGAAGACAAAGCGAACGUGAAGUCACGGGUGUGGAUUUAAUGUCCCUUUGUCCGCAGGGUUCGGGCGCACCUUUGAACGCCGCAGAAUGGAGAAGAGCCGACUUGCGUGGAUGCGGUUCGGCUCUAAAGAACUUAGAGGUUUGAGGGCGAGACAAGACCUGUCCCCUGAUCCCUGCGAACUAGGCCUCACUGUGAUGCUCCAGCAUCUCAUCACUAGGCCUGAGGAACCCAAUGGUCUGCCUGGGUGAAUACAGGUUGUCCUGAGGGUGAUACAUUUAUCUGUGAUACGACUCCAUUCCCAACGUGAGGAUCAAACUCAUGACCUCGAGCCCAGGGGUCACAUGUUGCACAGACUGAGCCAGCCAGGGGUCCCUUGAUCUAUUUCCUCUAGAUGUUCAAGAUUCUGCCCAUCGUUGAACUCCUGGCAAGUGUUAAGGAUGAAGCAGCUUGUUCCUGUGUGUUACCCCAAAGCCUCCAGAGUUAACAGGUGCUGCUACCAAUAACCUGCUUGCUAGUUCAAAGGUCCAGUACGUUUUGUGGAGCCCAAGAGUGACUUGAGGAACCCUGAGCCAUUUUUCUCCUGGGCUCCAGUCGAAGUCAGAGGUCUGAAGAAAGAACAAGGCCUGUAUUCUAGGAAUCCAAUUCUUCAGGGAUAUCAAAAGGAAGUUUUCAGGUCAUUUUUUGUACAACCUAGUGGAAGUGAGCAUACAGUUGUUUAAACCUUUCUAAAUAAAAGUUUAACAUUUA